rnacentral:lncRNA from 1 species
CAUGUCCGCCAUCUUUGUUGGUCGGUGUACCAAUGUUUCGCGAACAAGAAUCAGCUUUUUCAGACAAUUUUCAGCCCAAGGCUUAUUGGUGACCAUUCCUCCAUGACCUGGGUGAUUUUGAUCAUCGUAAAGACAACAUGUUAAUUAUGUGGAGAUCCAGCCAAGUUCAGAGAGCUGUUCAGUGUUUUCAGACCAGUAAAUUCAAGGUGUCCCAAACAGAACGUCAGAGACAACCUUCAGUGGCGGAGCACCAUUACAGGGAUGUCACCCAAGAACAGCCUGGAACAAGUGUUCAGUCAAACAUCCAGCCAAGAUUUGUAUACGUUUUGUAGAUGUAAACAAUAGAAUCAAAAUUAUCUCCACCUUGAAUUGCCCGAGUGUACACACCUGUGUGAGGAGCAUUAUGGAGUAUGCAUCACCAGUAUAUGAACAGAGCUCCCCUUGUAUGUUCUCUGGUCCCUCGAUGCACUGCAGAGGAAAUGUCUCAGAAUGUUCCCUGACAUCCCCCUGGAGCCUUUGCAACUCCGAUGUGACUUUGCUGGCCUCUCCAUUAUACACCAGGCAGCAAAAUGUCCCACCCUUGCGAGAAACACCAACCUCCGAUGGCUUCCAUUAACCCACAAGAUUGCUGCGUUGCUGUGUACGCCAUGUGGUACCCAGAACUGCAAGUCAUCAGCGACCUUUCACACCGUACUAUACCAGACUCUGGAAUUCUGCCCCUGAGACUAUCGUUGGGAUCAAGAGUCAAUUCAGGCAAUCCCUCACAUGUUAUCUUUUUAACUAAGUGUGAGACUCAUUUUGAGUGUCACCCCAACUACAUGUGUCUCUGGAAUAUACAUAAAAAACUAUAGGAAUCAUCCUAUUUCCUUGUGGAAAAUUAAAAAUUCUAACAACGUUAUUGUUACUGCAAAAAUUAAGGAAUCUCAGUGCUUUUUAAUUCCCUUGAACUCAGUGCAUUUUUUUAAAAUUUAAUGCAUUCCUUGAACUUAAUGUAUUACUUGAACCUAAUGCAUUCCUCGGAACCUCAUGCAUUCCUUGAACUUCGUGAAUUCAUUGAAUUUAAUGCAUUCAUUGAGCAUAAGGAAUUGCUUGGAUUUAAUGCAUUCCUUGAAUUUCAUGCAUUCCUUGAAUUUUAUGCAUUCCUUGAACUUCAUGUAUUGUGAUUCAUUUUAACUUAAUGAAUUCCUUGGAUUUAAUGAAUUCCUCGAAUUUAAUGCUUCCUUGAAUCUAAUGCAUUCCUUGAACUUAAUGCCUUCCUUCAACUUCAUUGUUUAUAUAACUGAACUUAUUGCAUUCCUUGAACUUAAUGCAUUCCUUGAAAAUGCAUUCCUUGCACUUAAUGGAGUCCUUGAACUUAAAUGGAGUCCUUAAACUAAAUGUAUUACUUUAAUUUAAUGUAUUACCAUGUACAUGUAUUGAAUUAAAGCAGCAAUGUAUUAAAGUAAAGACAGAAAAGGAUUGUG